GUUGUUAAUAGAUUUUUCGCUCACACCAGAUGUCUGGACCCUGGACAGAUAACAGAAGGAGAGAGGGACCCUAGGAGGUACGUAAAGGAGUUGAUGAAAUCCUGUUACGACAGACAAAUCAGAUAAGUCAGUCUGUGUGGAGGAGGAUGAAGACCUAGUGACGUGCAGGACAGAGUAAAACACACACUAUCAAUGACAUGCAGCUUUUCUCAUAGACCGGGGAGGUUACUAUGUGAAGGAAUGUGUUAGGAUUGGAAGUUCUCUCUUUAUGUUUCUUUUGAGAUGGUAUGGCCUCUGAGAACCCCCAAGACCAACUGCAUGAGGCUAUUAAAAACGCACAACGCCUUGCUGAGGAGCUCAACCAAGAGAAGGACCCACAAGCCCAACUGGACGAGGCCAUUAACGAGGUCAAAAGACUGGCUGAGGAGCUCAACCAAGAGAAGGACCCACAAGCCCAACUGGACGAGGCCAUUAACGAGGCAAAAAGACUGGCUGAGGAGCUCAACCCAGAACGGGAAAAUAAGAAGAAAAAGACAAACAAGCCUCCAGGGAUUAGGUUCAGAUGGAGACAAAGGGAUGAGAGAGGACAGAUUGUUCCUCAAACCAGGAAGGCAAGUUUCAUCCCAUCUAGGUGCUCAACACGUAUAAGUUUAUAUUAUAUAUUCAUAUUUAUGUCAUGUAAAGUCUCCAUACACUUCAUGUAAGUAUUCAGCCCAUAUAAUAUGAUUUUCUGGUAAAAAAUAGAUUUAUAUUUUAUUUCAGGAUUUGAUUGAGUGAUGUUUUGCAGUGAUACCAGGAGAGGGCAGUGUGACAACAACCAGGUUUGGCAGGAGGACACUAGGACGGUCAUUUCUCUGUUGUUGUGGUAACAUGAUAGGGUGGGUUGUUGGUUAGGAAUAGAUAACAGAGCCACGGUUGGACACUUCAGAAUACAGCCAUGGUUGGAGGAGUCAGCCGGGAGUGGAUAGCUGUAUCGGCCACUGUUGGAUAGCUCAGCCGUAGCUGCAUACUAGUCAUGUUCGGAAAAUAGAGGCGUGGUGGAAUGUACCAUUCAGCUAUGAUUGGAUAGCUAUGGUAGCUCCGCCCCGUUCAUAGUCCCAGACCCAAAACGCUCUCAGUCUGUCAGCGACCGUGCAAGAGUGAACAUCUCCCAUGACUGUUAUUUCUAAACUUGUCAAAGCUUGAAAUCUUUCACUCAUUUCCAUCCCAGCCCGAAACCGUAUCUGCAGAACAGCACUUUUUUUAGGAGCUUUGAUAUUCUUAUAUUGUUACGGUACUUUUUGAUACUGUUUGUAAGUAUCCAUGUUAUGCACUGAAUUUGUAAUUGUAUUUGAAUGUGAAAUUAAAAUAAAAAUUAUUUUUCAAAAAAAUAUGUAAAAAAAUCUAUGUAUGCUUAUGUGUACAACGUGGUGCUUUGUUGAAUAAAACGGAAACAAACCAACCAGAAUAUAGUCAUGUCUUUAAUUUCACAUUUCAAUAUUAUAUCACCUCGUUCAUGGAGGUAAUAGACAUUUAGGGAGGCAGAGUAUGACAGUGUGAAAACGUAACAAUGUAAAACAAAAAAAGAACAAGUUUAAUGUGUACUCAAUUUCCAGGGGCUUCCUCUACGCGAAGCAGAGCCGUCCUGAGCCUCCACUACAGGAACUCAGUGCCAGAGUGAACUUCUCCCCUGGCUACUAUUUCAAAGUUGUCAAAGCUUCAAGUCGUUUGACUCAUUUCGAUCUAAGCCCGAAACUGAGAAGUGCCAGGGGCUUUCCCUACAUGAAUUUGGCGCCUCUCCAGCUCUCGAGAUUCAUUGUUGGUUAGGAAUAGAUAACAGAGCCACGGUUGGACACUUCAGAAUACAGCCAUGGUUGGAGGAGUCAGCCGGGAGUGGAUAUCUGUAUCGGCCACUGUUGGAUGGAUCAGCCGUAGCUGCAUACUAGAGUCAUGUUCGGAAAAUAGAGGCGUGACAUACCAGUCAGCUCUGAUUGGUAGCUCCGCCCCGUUCAUAGUCCCAGACCCAAAACACUCUGUCUGUCAGCGACCGUGCAAGAGUGAACAUCUCCCGUGACUGUUAUUUCUAAACUUGUCAAAGCUUGAAAUCGGUUCACUCAUUUCCAUCCCAGCCCGAAACCGUAUCCAUGUAUGCUUAUGUGUACAAGGUGGUGCUUUGUUGAAUAAAACGGAAACAAACCAACCAGAAUAUAAUAAUAAAAUGUCUUUAAUUUCACAUUUCAAUAUUAUAUCACACUGCAUACUAGAGUCAUGUUCGGAAAAAAUAAUAAUAAUAAAAAUAAAAA